rnacentral:rRNA from 1 species
GAUGAACGCUGGCGGCGUGCCUAAUACAUGCAAGUCGAGCGAACGGACGAGAAGCUUGCUUCUCUGAUGUUAGCGGCGGACGGGUGAGUAACACGUGGAUAACCUACCUAUAAGACUGGGAUAACUUCGGGAAACCGGAGCUAAUACCGGAUAAUAUUUUGAACCGCAUGGUUCAAAAGUGAAAGACGGUCUUGCUGUCACUUAUAGAUGGAUCCGCGCUGCAUUAGCUAGUUGGUAAGGUAACGGCUUACCAAGGCAACGAUGCAUAGCCGACCUGAGAGGGGGAUCGGCCACCCUGGACCUGGGACACGGUCCAGACCCCGACGGGAGGCAGGAGGAGGGAAUCUUCCGCAAUGGGCGAAAGCCUGACGGAGAAACGCCGGGGGGGUGAUGAAGGUCUUCGGAUCGUAAAACUCUGUUAUUAGGGAAGAAAAUAUGUGUAAGUAACUGUGCCCAUCUGGAGGGUACCAAAUCAGAAAGCCACGGCGAACUACGU